UACAGAGGGUGCGAGCGUUGUCCGGAAUCACUGGGCGUAAAGGGCGCGUAGGUGGUGGCUUAAGCGUGCGGUGAAAGCUCGGGGCUCAACUCCGAGUCGGCCGUGCGAACUGGGCUCACUGGAGCAUAGUAGAGGCAGGUGGAAUUCCUGGUGUAGCGGUGGAAUGCGCAGAUAUCAGGGAGAACACCCGUGGCGAAGGCGGCUCUCUGGAACGCAACUGACGCUGAGACGCGAAAGCGUGGGGAGCAAACAGG
rnacentral:rRNA from 1 species